GGAUGGCAUCUGCUGUAGCCACAGAUCUCUCUUGUUUCCAUGAGAGGGAGGGCCUGCUGGAUAGAAGGGGUGAGUGGAUCACACAACCAAAGGGAGAAGAUGAGCUGGAAGAGGAAGAGAGAUGUGGUAGCAAAAGUGGAGCUUCUGUUGUUGCUGCCAGCGGAUCGGGGCAACUGCCAAUUCAUCAGUGGGGUGAUUGUUGAGGCAAGAAAUCAGGGACUGGCAUCGGCAAUGGCAGCAAAAGCCUGGUCAGCACAUGCAGCAGAAUGAGGUGGUAAAAUCGUGAGAUGAUAGAGGAGACCCUCCUGCUUCAAAUGACAGGUGAGAGGAGUGUUUUCUUCUCCCACCCAUGGUCAAACUUUUUGAAAGUUAAGAAAAAUCUAGCACAUCAGAUUCUAUCCCAGUUCACUCCAUGCUGGGUUGGUUUCUUGCUUAUA